AUGGCGAUGGCGACGAUGGUCGGAGAAAAACCAAAAGCCUUGAGAGAUAAAGAAAUUGAUGAAGAGGAGGAAGAUAAGAGUUUGGAACCAAAAUUGGGUCAAAAUUCGAAGGUUGAGCCUCACGCGUUAAACUCCCUCUCUCUCUGCCUCUACUUCACUUCCCACUGCAAAACCCACCACCAUCCCCUCAACCGCCUCCCCCUCACAGAUCAAACCCACCGCCACAUCUACCGCUUCUCCAAGCCAUGGCCCAUCCUCCCCUCCUACCUCCCCUGGUCCCCCUCCCCAAACGCACCGUUUCGCUCCUGCGAGGCCUACUUCGGCAACGGCUUCACCCGCCGCGUCGAUCUCCUCGAUCCCACCCAGCUGGUUCCGGUGUCAUUUCAGCGAGACUCUGCGGAGCUCGGUGUGCGAGGGAGGCGGGAUCAGGAUGGUGCCGGAGAGGGUGCGGAUGUCGUAUGGCGGCGAGGCUUUGGAGGAUGUGAUUGGGAGAGGGGAAGAGGAGGAGCUGCCGGAGUUUCGAAACGGUGCGUUUGAGGUCGAUGGAGGGGUUGGUGGGGAGACAUACAAUGAGGGAGCUGAUCGGGUCGAUUCGGGUUGUGCCGAGUAGAGAGUUUCAGUGCAGUGAGUGGAUUGAGGAGCCGACACUUUUGGUGACACGGUUUGAGUAUGCAAAUGUUUUCCACACAUUUACGGAUUGGUAUAGCGGUUAUGUAGGUUCCAGAGUCACUGGCUUACCUAGCCGGCCUCAUGUUGUCUUUGUAGACGGCCAUUGUUGGACACAACUGGAAGAGACAUGGAAAGCGUUAUUCUCUAGCCUUACUGCCUUAGAUAUGCAAAAAACUUUUAGUGGUCCCAUUUGUUUCCGACAUGCUAUUAUUUCACCUUUGGGAUAUGAGACUGCAUGGUUUAAGGGGCUCACUGAAGAUAUAACCUGUGAGGGAGCUUCUGCACCAGAGCUGUGGCAACACCCUGAUAACAAGAAAACUGCAUGGCUGUCUGAGUUUGGAGAAAUGAUUAGAGCUGCUUUUGGAAUUCCAGUGCAUAAGCAGCGUGUUGAGAAGCAAACCUCAGGUCUAAAUAUCCUUUUUGUUCGGUGUGAAGAUUAUCUACCGCAUCCACGUCACGGUGGCAAAGUUGAAUCAAGGUUAAGUAAUGAGCAAGAAGUGUUUGAUGCCUUAAAGAGCUGGUUGUCGAAUCAUAAGGAAUGCAAAAUAAACUUUGUGAAUGGAUUGUUUGCACACAUGUCGAUGAAAGAACAAGUCCAGGCCAUUCAAGAUGCUUCUGUUUAUUAUUGGUGCUCAUGGUGCAGGUCUCACACAUAUAGUAUCUGCAUCCCUGAAAACCGUGGUUCUGGAGAUUAUUAGCAGCCAAUAUAGACGGCCGCAUUUUGCUUUAAUUUGCCAGUGGAAAGGGUUGGAAUAUCAUGCAAUUAAUCUUCAGGAUUUGUAUGCCUCUCCGUCAGUUGUUAUUGACAACCUUAGCCGUAUACUGAGUACGCUUGGGUGCUGGAAACCAUUUUUGGUAAUGUACCGCACCUUGUCUAUUUCCUCAGGAUAACACUAUUACACGAUAGAUCAAACUUAUCUUAGUCAAGGUAGAUAAGUUAAUAGAACUUCUUGGACUGACUUUCCGUUGGUUGAGUAAUAUAAUUAUUGUGCCUUGAGCAAUGGUAUGGAAGGUGUCAAGCCUCUAUAAAGUAUACGAGAAUGGUGACAAAUUAGCAGGUAUGUAUCAGGAAACGGACAAUUAUCUGAAGGCGGAUAUAUACAGUUUGUGGACAGUAGACGUGUGUACAGGUAUGUUAUGUUGCCUUGACACUCAAAAUCUUUGUACUUGUUUUUUCACUUAUUCAGGAA